rnacentral:rRNA from 1 species
UACGAAGGGGGCUAGCGUUGCUCGGAAUCACUGGGCGUAAAGGGUGCGUAGGCGGUCGCGCAAGUCGGAUGUGAAAUCUUGGGGCUCAACCCCGAAACUGCAUUCGAUACUGCGUGGCUCGAGUACUGGAGAGGAGACUGGAAUUUACGGUGUAGCGGUGAAAUGCGUAGAUAUCGUAAGGAAGACCAGUGGCGAAGGCGGGUCUCUGGACAGUUCCUGACGCUGAGGCACGAAGGUCAGGGGAGCAAACGGG